rnacentral:rRNA from 1 species
UACGUAGGGUGCAAGCGUUAAUCGGAAUUACUGGGCGUAAAGCGUGCGCAGGCGGUUUUGUAAGACAGAUGUGAAAUGCCCGGGCUUAACCUGGGAACUGCAUUUGUGACUGCAAGGCUAGAGUGUGUCAGAGGGGGGUAGAAUUCCACGUGUAGCAGUGAAAUGCGUAGAUAUGUGGAGGAAUACCGAUGGCGAAGGCAGCCCCCCUGGGAUAACACUGACGCUCAUGCACGAAAGCGUGGGGAGCAAACAGG